GGCCGGUUAGCUCAGCUGCUUAGAGCGUGGUGCUAAUAUUGCCAAGGUCGCGGGUUUGAUUCCCGUACUGGCUA